UUGCUGAAACAGAAACUGACAGUUAUCACCCAAAAUUUUCUUAAAGUAGCAUUGAGAAAAUUCUUCAAAGAUGUGCAAAGAAAGCGUAUUUAAACUGAGUGGAAAAUUAUCAAAAGCUAUGCUGUCUAGUGUCAGAAAAAAGAAACGUCAAUAGUAACACGUUUACAUGAAAAAAUGUCUGCUCUAGCUCGUUGACACUUGACAGUUGACACUCAAUUGAGAUCACGUACAAACCAAGGCAAUAACUUUGAUACUCACGUUUCAAUGGCCGUUGAUGUUCAGGCUGUUAAUGCAGAUGCUGCCACUUGAGGAGAUGGUGAAAGGUCUGCUUAAAGCUGUUGCUGCUGUCAUUGGUGUCACAAUUCACUGUAUUGUUUGUUAGCAUGUCAAAUUUUCUCCAUCUUUCUGAUCUCAUCCAUGCAGUGUACAAUUGCAAGGCAACUUGAUUUUACAUGAUGUAUGAGUGAUUACAUCGAUAACUGCAACAUCCAAA